AGAGGUGGCAAGGCGAUUGCGAGCAACUCUUUAUAUUGAGGAAAUGCUUGAGGAAAGUCCGGGCUUCCGAAAGACCAAACUUGCUGGAUAACGUCCAGUGCGAGCGAUCGUGAGGAGAGUGCCACAGAAACAUACCGCCUUUAGAAGCCAGAAGAAUAAAUAAUGAAGAGGAAGUUAAAUUCCACCUUCAGCGUUUAUUUGCGCUUAGAGGUAAGGGUGCAAAGGUGCGGUAAGAGCGCACCAGCAGCAUCGAGAGGUGCUGGCUCGGUAAACCCCGGUUGGAUGCAAGGCAGAUGGGGCAACGGUUGGUCUUUUUCCCGUCCCGUGUUGCUGGUGAAAUACCCAGCAAAGAGCCGCUUGAGGCAUUUGGUAACAGGUGUCCCAGAUAGAUAAUCGCCCUCUUAGAGCGUUGCUCGUAAGAGAACAGAACCCGGCUUACGUCCACCUCUUCUU
rnacentral:RNase_P_RNA from 1 species